CCGGCGAGUUACGAUUUGAUGCAAGGUUAAGCAGUAAAUGUGGAGCCGUAGCGAAAGCGAGUCUGAAUAGGGCGUUUAGUAUUUGGUCGUAGACCCGAAACCAGGUGAUCUACCCUUGGUCAGGUUGAAGUUCAGGUAACACUGAAUGGAGGACCGAACCGACUUACGUUGAAAAGUGAGCGGAUGAACUGAGGGUAGCGGAGAAAUUCCAAUCGAACCUGGAGAUAGCUGGUUCUCUCCGAAAUAGCUUUAGGGCUAGCCUCAAGUGAUGAUUAUUGGAGGUAGAGCACUGUUUGGACGAGGGGCCCCUCUCGGGUUACCGAAUUCAGACAAACUCCGAAUGCCAAUUAAUUUAACUUGGGAGUCAGAACAUGGGUGAUAAGGUCCGUGUUCGAAAGGGAAACAGCCCAGACCACCAGCUAAGGUCCCAAAAUAUAUGUUAAGUGGAAAAGGAUGUGGCGUUGCCCAGACAACUAGGAUGUUGGCUUAGAAGCAGCCAUCAUUUAAAGAGUGCGUAAUAGCUCACUAGUCGAGUGACACUGCGCCGAAAAUGUACCGGGGCUAAACAUAUUACCGAAGCUGUGGAUUGUCCUUUGGACAAUGGUAGGAGAGCGUUCUAAGGGCGUUGAAGCAUGAUCGUAAGGACAUGUGGAGCGCUUAGAAGUGAGAAUGCCGGUGUGAGUAGCGAAAGACGGGUGAGAAUCCCGUCCACCGAUUGACUAAGGUUUCCAGAGGAAGGCUCGUCCGCUCUGGGUUAGUCGGGUCCUAAGCUGAGGCCGACAGGCGUAGGCGAUGGAUAACAGGUUGAUAUUCCUGUACCACCUAUAAUCGUUUUAAUCGAUGGGGGGACGCAGUAGGAUAGGCGAAGCGUGCGAUUGGAUUGCACGUCUAAGCAGUAAGGCUGAGUAUUAGGCAAAUCCGGUACUCAUUAAGGCUGAGCUGUGAUGGGGAGAAGACAUUGUGUCUUCGAGUCGUUGAUUUCACACUGCCGAGAAAAGCCUCUAGAUAGAAAAUAGGUGCCCGUACCGCAAACCGACACAGGUAGUCAAGAUGAGAAUUCUAAGGUGAGCGAGCGAACUCUCGUUAAGGAACUCGGCAAAAUGACCCCGUAACUUCGGGAGAAGGGGUGCUCUUUAGGGUUAACGCCCAGAAGAGCCGCAGUGAAUAGGCCCAAGCGACUGUUUAUCAAAAACACAGGUCUCUGCUAAACCGUAAGGUGAUGUAUAGGGGCUGACGCCUGCCCGGUGCUGGAAGGUUAAGAGGAGUGGUUAGCUUCUGCGAAGCUACGAAUCGAAGCCCCAGUAAACGGCGGCCGUAACUAUAACGGUCCUAAGGUAGCGAAAUUCCUUGUCGGGUAAGUUCCGACCCGCACGAAAGGCGUAACGAUUUGGGCACUGUCUCAACGAGAGACUCGGUGAAAUCAUAGUACCUGUGAAGAUGCAGGUUACCCGCGACAGGACGGAAAGACCCCGUGGAGCUUUACUGUAGCCUGAUAUUGAAAUUCGGCACAGCUUGUACAGGAUAGGUAGGAGCCUUUGAAACGUGAGCGCUAGCUUACGUGGAGGCGCUGGUGGGAUACUACCCUAGCUGUGUUGGCUUUCUAACCCGCACCACUUAUCGUGGUGGGAGACAGUGUCAGGCGGGCAGUUUGACUGGGGCGGUCGCCUCCUAAAAGGUAACGGAGGCGCUCAAAGGUUCCCUCAGAAUGGUUGGAAAUCAUUCAUAGAGUGUAAAGGCAUAAGGGAGCUUGACUGCGAGACCUACAAGUCGAGCAGGGUCGAAAGACGGACUUAGUGAUCCGGUGGUUCCGCAUGGAAGGGCCAUCGCUCAACGGAUAAAAGCUACCCCGGGGAUAACAGGCUUAUCUCCCCCAAGAGUUCACAUCGACGGGGAGGUUUGGCACCUCGAUGUCGGCUCAUCGCAUCCUGGGGCUGUAGUCGGUCCCAAGGGUUGGGCUGUUCGCCCAUUAAAGCGGUACGCGAGCUGGGUUCAGAACGUCGUGAGACAGUUCGGUCCCUAUCCGUCGUGGGCGUAGGAAAUUUGAGAGGAGCUGUCCUUAGUACGAGAGGACCGGGAUGGACAUACCUCUGGUGUACCAGUUGUCGUGCCAACGGCAUAGCUGGGUAGCUAUGUGUGGACGGGAUAAGUGCUGAAAGCAUCUAAGCAUGAAGCCCCCCUCAAGAUGAGAUUUCCCAACUUCGGUUAUAAGAUCCCUCAAAGAUGAUGAGGUUAAUAGGUUCGAGGUGGAAGCAUGGUGACAUGUGGAGCUGACGAAUACUAAUCGAUCGAAGACUUAAUCAA
rnacentral:rRNA from 1 species